ACGGGGGGUGCAAGCGUUAUUCGGAAUUAUUGGGCGUAAAGCGCGCGUAGGCGGUUUUGUAGGUCAGAUGUGAAAUCCCGGGGCUCAACCCCGGAAGUGCAUUUGAAACCCCGAGACUUGAGUAUGGGAGAGGGAAGUGGAAUUCCAGGUGUAGAGGUGAAAUUCGUAGAUAUCUGGAGGAACACCGGUGGCGAAGGCGACUUCCUGGACCAAUACUGACGCUGAGGUGCGAAGGCGUGGGGAGCAAACAGG
rnacentral:rRNA from 1 species